GCUACUUUUUGUUUAAUAACUUUUGAACCGAGAAUAAUUUGGUAAGAAAUAUAUAACAAAAGUUGUGUGUAAUUACGAGAGCUUUCAUAUUAGAUUAAUGAAAAGGGGCUGGCCCCUAUAAUUAGGGGUUAAUAGCUCAUACACGUUUUUUCUGAUAGCUAAAAAUAUUGGUAUAUUAUGAAAAAGUUUGACUGAAAUAAUUUCGAACUUAUAAAAUCUUGUCAUUUGAUAUAAAAAGAAAUAAACUUCCAGCUAUAUUUAAUUGUUUUUUAUAUAAAACAAGUACAUGUAUGUGAGAAACCUUUCAGGAACAAGUUGUCUACUAUAGCCAGCCAAGCCUUUACUGCAUACAUGUGCACAUUUUUAGUUGAUGCAUCUAAAAGAUAUAGUUUUGAUUCGGUGUUUCUUUGUUUUCUUUUUAUUCAAAUAAUUUUAAAAUGUGAUGAUGUACACAACAAUAAAUAGUACCUAGUUUAGAGGAUUUUUUCGCGCUUGUUUGUAAACAACGCGCGGCAUUGUGGGAAAUAGGAAGGUACUAAAGACGCGAUGUACUAAACACUGAUUUGACCUGAUUCAAAUUUGUCUGUAAAUGUUCCAAACAAUUGAAUUUUUGUAUAGCAUAUGCCUCGAAGUCAUAAAGUCUGUACAUAAGUAAUUUAAAAUACUCAAUAUUACCAUUUAAUUAAAAAUUAAAACGUCAGGUAAAUAUCAGGUCUCUAGUAUAUCCCGUUUUUAGUGUGCCCCUUCGAGUCGACGUCGGACACAUGUUUGUCAUGGUUUACAAACUGAAAAUAGAAUGAUUUGUGAAGUUGAACAUUUUCUCACAAAGAAUCCGUUUGUAGACAUGCACACUCAUUUAAUCUGGAGCUACGAAGUACUUUGUCACUUCUCUGGAACAUUAUUCUAAGCAGAAUUAUCCCGAUUCAUAUAUUCUAAGAAUCUUGUGUGAAUUGUUUACGAGGAAAUUCUGACUGUCACAUUAACAAGGAUGAACACUCUUGACUCUGCUUCGGAUUCCCCAGUGAUAAUUGUAUCGAGUGAUGAAAGAGCUGACGGCGACAUUUUAAUGUAUGAUUGGCUUGGACCAUUGGAAUGAAGUCAUUUCAUGGUGCCACCACUUGGGAUGGUAUUAGCUGCAAAUAUAGACUUGUACUCAGCACUUAUUGCCUUUAAGAAGUAUGAGAUCCAUUUUGUGCUAACACCUACCGUGACACAGAAUCUUGGUUUAUGCAGUCUCAUAGGAGUAACCUGUCUAAAGCAUUUAGCAAUGGGAUUGGAACCUGCGACGUGUGACUCAUCUGAAGACUGAAUUUUGAUACCAAGCAUGACCAUGAUUUGCCAGAAGAUCAUCUGUUUGGAUGUGACAUGGAAUAAACAGCAUAGUGAAAAUAAGUCAAGUUUUGGUUUGUGAAGACAAUUUUUAAACACACUGUGUAUCAUUUUUAAAUUUUGAUUUGACAACAUAAAUCCACAAAUAUGAACAUAUCAAUUGCUCUCAGUUUUUCAAGUGAAAUAGUUUUUGUAACAGAAAUACAUGUACCAGUAAUUACAUUGGAAUAAAUGUUAUUUUUAAAUAUAAUAAUAUUUUGUUUGUGUAGCAUGUUGACCUCUUUAUUAAGGUCUUCCCUUUCAAAGUUUAGACUUACUUAUUCUAAUGAUUAAGAUAGAUCCUCUGUCUUCAGCAGGAAUAGAAGAUCUUGUAAUACA